rnacentral:rRNA from 1 species
GUGGGGAAUAUUGGACAAUGGGGGGAACCCUGAUCCAGCCAUGCCGCGUGUGUGAAGAAGGCCUUUUGGUUGUAAAGCACUUUAAGCGAGGAGGAGGCUACCGAGAUUAAUACUCUUGGAUAGUGGACGUUACUCGCAGAAUAAGCACCGGCUAACUCUGUGCCAGCAGCCGCGGUAAUACAGAGGGUGCAAGCGUUAAUCGGAUUUACUGGGCGUAAAGCGCGCGUAGGUGGCCAAUUAAGUCAAAUGUGAAAUCCCCGAGCUUAACUUGGGAGUUGCAUUCGAUACUGGUUGGCUAGAGUAUGGGAGAGGAUGGUAGAAUUCCAGGUGUAGCGGUGAAAUGCGUAGAGAUCUGGAGGAAUACCGAUGGCGAAGGCAGCCAUCUGGCCUAAUACUGACACUGAGGUGCGAAAGCAUGGGGAGCAAACAGGAUUAGAUACCCGAGUAGUCC